rnacentral:misc_RNA from 1 species
UAUGGGCGGCAUAGGUAAAACAACUAUUGCUGGAGCUAUCUUCAAUACUCUCUCAAGUCAAUUUGAAGGUUGUUGCUUUCUUGGAAAUGUUAAGGAAGAAUUAAAGCAAUUUGGUGGGCUUAUUCGUUUAAGAGAAAUGCUCAUUUCUGAAAUACUAGAAGAAGAAAACCUACAUAUUGUUACUCCCAAAAUAGGAUCCAUUUCCAUUAAGAAUAGGCUCCGGCGCAAAAAGGUUCUGAUUGUUCUUGAUGAUGUGAAUGAUAUAGAUCAAUUAGAAGUUCUAAUUGGAAGUUGUGACUUUGGUUUGGGAAGUAGAAUUAUUGUGACAUCUAGAGAUAGGCAUGUUCUUAAGAAUGGAGUUGAUGAAAUAUAUGAAGUUGAGGGAUUAAAUUAUGAUGAAGCUCUGCAUUUGUUCAGCUUGAAUGCUUUUAAGGAAAAGUAUCCGGGGAAAGAUAAAAUGGAGCUAUCAAAUAAAGCAGUCAAAUAUGCUCAAGGCAACCCUUAGCACUUAAAGUCAUGGGUUCUUUUCUGUUUGACCGAACAGAGCAAGAUUGGGAGAGUGCACUAGAUAAACUUGGAAAAAUUCCUCAUCCUAAAAUUUUUCACGUGUUGAGAAUAAGUUUUGAUAUGCUAGAUGAUGAAGAGAGAAGUAUAUUUCUUGAUAUUGCAUGCUUUU